GAGGGUAUAGCUCAAGUGGUAGAGUGCAUGCUUAGCAUGCACAAGGUCCUGGGUUCAUUUCCCUGUACCUUCU
rnacentral:tRNA from 1 species